rnacentral:rRNA from 1 species
CCGCUAUUGGAGUUCGAUUAAGCCAUGCGAGUCGAGAGUCCUCGGGACUCGGCGUACCGCUCAGUAACACGUGGGUAACCUGCCCUAUGCUGGGGAAUAACCUCGGGAAACUGAGAAUAAUGCCCCAUAGCCCACUACGCCUGGAACGGUGAGUGGGUCAAAGCUCCGGCGGCAUAGGAUGGGCCUGCGCCGUAUCAGGUUGUAGGGGGUGUAAAGUACCCUCUAGCCAUCAACGCGUACGGGUGUUGGGAGACGUUGCCCGGAGAUGGAUUCUGAGACACGAAUCCAGACCCUACGGGGUGCAGCAGGCGCGAAAACUUGGCAAUGCGAGCAAUCGUGACCAGGGAACUCCAAGUGCGUAGGGUAAGAMCUACGCUUUUCUUGGCUCUCAAAGGUCUGGAAUAAGGGGUGGGUAAGGACGGUGCCAGCCGCCGCGGUAAUACCGGCGCCUCAAAGUGGUAGUCGCUUUUAUUGGGCCUAAAACGUCCGUAGCCGGUCUGGUGCAUUCGUGGGUAAAUCAACCCGCUCAACGGGUUGAAUUCUGCGAGCACGGCCAGACUUGGGACCGGGAGAGGUGUGGGGUACUCUCAGGGUAGGGGUAAAAUCCUGUCAUCCUGAGAGGACCACCUGUUGCGAGGGCGCCACACUAGAACGGAUCCGACGGUCAGGGACGAAACCUAGGGGCACGAACCGGAUUAGAUACCCGGGUAGUCCUAGGUGUAAACGCUGUGGACUUGAUGUUGGGGGCGCUCCGAGCGCUCUCAGUGUCGAAGCGAAGGUGAUAAGUCCACUGCCUGGGGAGUACGGUCGCAAGGCUGAAACUUAAAGGAAUUGGCGGGGGAGCACUGCAACCUGAGGAUUGUGCGG